CUGGUACUGAGACACGGACCAGACUCCUACGGGAGGCAGCAGUGAGGAAUAUUGGUCAAUGGAGGCAACUCUGAACCAGCCAUGCCGCGUGAAGGAUGACGGCCCUAUGGGUUGUAAACUUCUUUUAUAGAGGAAGAAACUUGUCUACGUGUAGAUAACUGACGGU
rnacentral:rRNA from 1 species